GGGGAGGUUCCCGAGUGGCCAAAGGGGACAGACUGUAAAUCUGUUGGUUCCGCCUUCGCAGGUUCGAAUCCUGCUCUCCCCACCA
rnacentral:tRNA from 1 species